rnacentral:rRNA from 1 species
AACGAACGCUGGCGGCGUGUUUAAGACAUGCAAGUCGUACGGGGAACCAUUGAAGCUUGCUUUGGAGGUUCCUAGUGGCGCACGGGUGAGUAACACGUGAGUUACAUGCCCUGCAGUGGGGGAUAGCCCGCCGAAAGGCGGAUUAAUACCCCAUGGUACCUACGGGUUAAAGGUGGCUUUUGCUGCCGCUGCAGGAUUGGCUCGCGUCCUAUCAGUUUGUUGGUGAGGUAACGGCUCACCAAGGCGACGACGGGUAGCUGGUCUGAGAGGAUGAUCAGUCACACUGGAACUGAGACACGGUCCAGACACCUACGGUGGCAGCAGUCGAGAAUAAUUCACAAUGGACGAAAGUCUGAUGGUGCAACGCCGCGUGGAGGAUGACGGUCUUCGGAUUGUAAACUCCUGUCAUCAGGGAGUAAGACCUGGCUGUGAAUAGCAGACAGGGUUGAUAGUACCUGAAGAGGAAGGGACGGC